rnacentral:rRNA from 1 species
UUCUGGUUGAUCCCGCCGGACCCUACUGCUAUCGGGGUGGGACUAAGACAUGCGAGUCGAGCGUCUCUAGCUAUGUUGAGACGCGGCAGACGGCUCAGUAACACGUGGCUAACCUACCCUCAGGACAGGGACAAACCCGGGAAACUGGGGCUAAUACCAGAUAGGCGAGGAUGCCUGGAAUGGUUUUUCGCUCAAAGGACCUUGGAAACAUGCUUUCAGGUCGCCUGAGGAUGGGGCCGCGUCCGAUCAGGUUGUUGGUGAGGUAACGGCUCACCAAGCCUAUAACCGGUACGGGCCGUGAGAGCGGUAGCCCGGAGAUGGGUACUGAGACAAGGACCCAGGCCCUACGGGGCGCAGCAGUCGCGAAAACUCCGCAAUGCACGAAAGUGUGACGGGGCUACCCCGAGUGCUCUCCGCUGAGGAAAGCUUUUCUCUGGUGUAACAAGCCAGGGGAAUAAGGAGAGGGNCAGACUGGUGUCAGCAGCCGCGGUAA